CUCAUUUAAGGGUUGGCAGUGGAGGAGAAGGUAUCUUGCUGGAGGUUUCCAUGUAACUGAAGUCUUCUAAAGGUCAGACUGCCCCCUUGCCAUAUGCCAUGUGGCAAUGAAAUGUAAUGGAAUAUCAGUGGGAAGGUUCCCCCUCUAGUGCCAUACCACCAACACAUAUUCAAUGCAUAUAUCAAAUAGACAUUUCCUUUUGGAUUUCCAACUUUCUUUAAGCCCUAUAUACAACGAUGAACAUCUUUGGCAUCUGUAAUACUACUGAUCUGUUCUGUCUAAACUUAAGCUGUAUCUUUGAGAAGAGACUUUGGCCAUUUGGUCCCUUUCAAAGGGAGACUUGAAGGUGCUGCACUUCAUUUUGGGAAACACAUUUUGAUUCGGCUCUAGGACUUCUGAUUUGUCCUCCUCAACUACUGCACAUAGCAAAGGGCUGAAAGCCAAUCCAGCUUUUUUGCUGAAGAUUCAGUGAGACAACACAGAUUGAUGUCCUUUUGCCUCUGCUACCAGGACAUCAUGCAAAAGGAGACCAAAGGAAUGGAUGAAGAUAGAAUGAG